AGAGUUUGAUCCUGGCUCAGGAUGAACGCUGGCGGUAUGCUUAACACAUGCAAGUCGAACGGCACUCUUCGGAGUUAGUGGCGGACGGGUGAGUAACGCGUGAGAAACUACCUUCAGGUCGGGGACAACAUUGGGAAACUGAUGCUAAUACCGGAUAUGCAGCGAUGUGAAAGAUUAAUUGCCUGAAGAUGUGCUCGCGUCAGAUUAGCUAGUUGGAGUGGUAAUGGCACACCAAGGCAACGAUCUGUAACUGGUCUGAGAGGAUGACCAGUCACACUGGGACUGAGACACGGCCCAGACUCCUACGGGAGGCAGCAGUGGGGAAUUUUCCGCAAUGGGCGAAAGCCUGACGGAGCAAUACCGCGUGAGGGAGGAAGCUUUUUGGAGUGUAAACCUCUUUUCUCUGGGAAGAUGAUGACGGUACCAGAGGAAUCAGCACCGGCUAACUUCGUGCCAGCAGCCGCGGUAAUACGAGGGAUGCAAGCGUUAUCCGGAAUUAUUGGGCGUAAAGCGUUCGUA
rnacentral:rRNA from 1 species